GGAGGCGCCAUCUUUAACAAGGGCCAUUUGGGAGGCCAUCUUGGCUCAGGGCGUCUUUUUGAAAGGUUACCUGCUAGAGAUUACGACCUAUCAGGGCAUGCAUAGAAUUGGCUCUAGUUUCUAGCCACUAGUCUCCAUGACAACAACUGAGGAAGAGCACCCAAACGACAAGAAGAAAAAGAAUGUUUUGCCAAAUAUGUGAAGAUAUAAUACCUAUCACCAAAGACUUUAAUAAGAAUAAUGAAAAUCCACACUAUGUGUUAAAAUACAGCUUUUAUUCUGA